UUGCCACCCAGGAAGCACUCUCCACUCCAGGUUCUCCAAUUCAUUCAUGAUGCAGAGCUGAAGGGUGCUUUUCCUAAUGGGUGGAUAGCUUUGAGGAUUCUGCUCA